UCCGUGAAGUGUUCUGUGGUAGGUAUCUCGGAUAUUAUAGUUGUAGGAUUGCCCAUAAGGAAACUUAAGAGGUUAAAACUGGUUCUUCGGAGUUGGAACAAGGAAGUUUUUGGGCAUGUUGAUAACCAUAUUUGAGAGCUUGAGGGAAAAGUUUAAUUAUUAGAAGAGUUUCUUCAACAAAAUUUCUCUUACGAAGUGGAUGCUGAUUUGACAGUGGCUAGGAAUGAUCUUGAGUUGUGGGCUCAUCGAGAAGAGAUGAGGUUAGCACAACAAGCAAAAAAAAGGUGGCUUGAGGAGGGAGACCAAAACUCUAAGUUUUUCCAUGCAGUUAUUGCUCAACGGAGGAAUCAGGUUUGUGUAAGCAUAUGAGACUACCAGAUGGGUCUACACUUGACUCUCCUGAGAUGGUAAAUGAAGGUGCGACAACCUAUUUUGAACAGUUUUUGACUAUUGAUGUGGAGGUGGAGGAACCUGCGUUGGAAGAUAUUAUUUAGCCAGUGUUGUCUCUACAGGAUAUUGAAGGGCUGUCUUCUCUUCCCAUGGAGCAAGAGGCAAAAAGCUUGAGAUUUGUCUAUAACAGAUAGCUAAAAGGCACAACAUUUUCGCAUUAAUUUCUAUUUAAGAAACUUGUUGCGCCUCUGGUCUGUCCAAAAAUCACACAAGACGAUAUUUAAGUGGUUCAGCAAAUUGCCUACAUCCACUAGAGCCAAAAUUCAUCGAGUUUGUAUGAGAUUACAAACACUCAACAAUUUCUCUCUCACGUCCACUUUCUCUCUGUUUUGCCCACUUCAUUUUACACAAAUGAGUUCUCUUUUUAUAGGAGAAGUUUCAAAGGACAAGCACUUACAAUUGUUGACCAAGAGAAUCGGUGCAACAAUUUAUGGUCCUAAAUUGUUACCAGAGAAUUGGGUGUCCUAAUAUGACAAAAGACUUUCGGUGGCUACACAGAGGACAAGGCUGCUUACAAACUGAUUCAUUUUUCAAAUGAAUGCACCUCAUUCUUUGACAUGAAAGACUUCCGCUAUCGAAUGGGCUCCAAUGCACUCGACGGUGCUCAACAGUGUACAAUAUUGAUCAAGUCCAAACAAUACCUGUAACAAACUUCGAUGAGGUUACCUUCCAUUUUAUUGACUGCACACAUAACUACUUGCAGUCCAAAUCACAGCUGGAAGGAGUUACCCCAACCCAGACGCAGCUAGUGGAGACAUCUCUCAGUCCUUCAGUGAAGAGUGCAUCAAGUGAAUAUCUGACAGCCCCAUCUAGUCAAUUCUUUGGGCCAUCCAGCAUUGAUGGGGGGGGGGGGUCAAGAGCUGUGAUCAAUUGGUCCUUGACUAUUUGCAGCAACCUGCAAGCAUUGGAUAGGAAAAGGGGUACAUUGGGAUGAGCUUUCACAGCAACUAAAAAUUCCUGUGGAGAAGAUCAUGGAAUCUAUUAGGUCUCUUGAAGAGGAGGGUUUGAUAUACUCCACCAUCGACGAGUUUCACUACAAGUCAACUCAGUGACGUGGAUACUCAGAUUAAAAUGAGCUAAAAUAUUAGUCUUCUCUCUCUCUUUUUCUCUCUGAAAAAGAGGAGGUGAAUGUGUGUGAGUGUGAGUGAGGCGUAAGGGGUCAGAUGGUGGUUAUAACAGUAAGGAGAGAGGAAGAUUCUGCAUAAGGGUAGAAGGGUGAGCUUUCAUGGUGGUUGGCAGAUGUGAACGGGGGUGGUUACAAAGCAGGAGUAGGGACAAAUGAAGGAACUAGAGGAAAAGUGGAGGAGGCUUCGACUAACGGAAGGGGAGGCAUCUGAUAUUAUAUUUGAGGAAGAUGAAGAAUUGAAAUACAAGGAAGGGAGAAGCAUAGUGGGGAAGGUCUGUUCGCAGAGAAUUAUCAGCAAGGAGGUGUUGAGCUCAACCUUGGCUAAAGUGUGGAGAGUUAGCUAGGCAGCACAAUUUUUGGAGGUAUGUCCAAACACUUGUAAUAGCCCCCCCCCCAAAAAAAAAAAAAAAAAAAAAAGAAGCCCAGCCCAUGCGUAAUGGCCCAACCUCCCCAACCCUUAUUCCUUCCUUUUCUCCCCCUUCCCGUAGCUUCUCAAAUCUUCCUACAAUUAUCUUCCCCCUAUCUCAUCACCUUGUAUGUCCCCCUUAUC